UCACAUCGUGCGAUGGCAGUUCCACCU
rnacentral:sRNA from 1 species